rnacentral:rRNA from 1 species
GGAUUAGUCUCGUUGGUGACCAGCGGAGGGACAUUACCGAGUUAUACAACUCAUCAACCCUGUGAACAUACCUAUAACGUUGCCUCGGCGGGAACAGACGGCCCCGUAACACGGGCCGCCCCCGCCAGAGGACCCCCUAACUCUGUUUCUAUAAUGUUUCUUCUGAGUAAACAAGCAAAUAAAUUAAAACUUUCAAAAACGGAUCUCUUGGCUCUGGCAUCCAUGAAUAACGCAUCGAAAUGCAAUAAGUAAUGUGAAUUGCAGAAUUCAGUGAAUCAUCAAAUCUUUGAACGCACAUUGCGCCCGCCAGUAUUCUGGCGGUCAUGCCUGUUCGAGCGUCAUUACAACCCUCAGGCCCCCGGGCCUGGCGUUGGGGAUCGGCGGAAGCCCCCUGCGGGCACAACGCCGUCCCCCAAAUACAGUGGCGGUCCCGCCGCAGCUUCCAUUGCGUAGUAGCUAACACCUCGCAACUGGAGAGCGGCGCGGCCACGCCGUACAACACCCAACUUCUGAAUGUUGACCUCGAAUCAGGUAGGAAUACAUACCUGAACUUACUUAUAUCAAUCAACGGAGGAAGGA